rnacentral:lncRNA from 1 species
CGUGCUCUGGGCUGCCUCCCAAUCGUUGUGCUCUGUAUGGACGAUGAAUGCCUGUGUGUGGCUGCAUGGCGCCGCUGUUUGAGUUCAGUGAAGCUGUUUCUGUUUGUGUGAGGAAGCAUUUCUGACACGUUUUAGCCGUGGCUGAAUAAACAUGGGACGUCGUUCUUCAGACAGCGAGGAUGACAGCCGCAGUCGGCGGAAGAAGAAGCACAGACGCCGCUCUUCUUCUUCUUCCUCCAGCUCAUCAGGCAGCAGAGUGACGAGCCGCAGCAAACAUUCCAGCAGGAGAAGUUCCCGGGACAGAGACAGGGACAGGGACCGGGACCGCGACAGGGACAAAGAUCGAGACCGUGAUCGAGACAGAGAACGAGAUCGAGACCGUGAUCGUGAUCGUGAUAGAAGGCGAAGGCACCGUUCCAGCAGCAGCUCCUCCAGAGGCUCCAGUCACAGGAGGCGGAGCCGCAGCACUGACAAAGGGCGGGGCCACAGGUCACGGAGGUCUCGCUCCCGCAGCCGUAAGAGGUCACCCUUCAAGACUGGGCACUCUGGUGAUGGGAUACGGCAGAUGUUUCGAGGUCCUGAACCUUAGAUUCUUCUCCAACUUGGAGUUUUGGAUGGUGUCUCUAUAUGAACUAGGGUUGUUCCAUAUUGUAUCGUAUAUGGUAAUAUUGUUAUGAUUAUUGGAAUGAUAAAAACAAGCUGUAAAAUGAUAAUUGUGGUAUUUUAUCUUAAAAGUAGUCUCUCUUUUAUUUAAGAGCUAUAUGAGGCAAGAUUUUUUGUAUAAAGGGUUUUAUAUGCAGUUUAUAUGCGUACACCACUAAAUAUAUUGCACUCUAAUUUCAAGUGUCAUUUAAUUUAAAUAAUUAUUAGAUAAAGCCACAUUAUGCACUGGUC